UGACAAAAAAUUUGGUAGACAAUCUCAAAGUGUGUAACUGGUUUAAAAAUAUUUAUGAAGUUGAGGGGAAGAGUUUAAGAUUAAAAUCUUAAGAUUGAGAUUGGUUGGAUGAACAGAAGAUUGACAAUGAAUUGCGUAACCACAAAAUCUACGGCGGUGCUUUAUCAUUAUCCUUGUCCCGACGGUGCUUUCGCCGCUCUGGCCGCUCAUCUCUAUUUCUCCGCGGCUUCUCUUCAUCAACAUCAACCACCCCCUCUCUUUUUCCCCAAUACCGUCUACAAUCCCCUCAGAUCCAACCAGCUUCCUCUGCAUCAAAUUGCCGACGUUUACCUUUUGGAUUUUGUGGGUCCUUCUGGAUUUGUUCAGGAUCUCUCUUCUAAAGUUAACAGAGUGAUUGUACUGGACCACCACAAGACGGCUCUUGAAAAGCUUUCUUCAUUUGGUCAAAACGUGACUAAAGUUAUAGAUAUUCAUAGAAGUGGAGCUACUAUAGCUUUUGACUAUUUCAAGCAAAAGCUAAUACAAGAUGCUGUCGGCAACUUUGAUGGUGGUUCUUCCCAUCACAAAGUGCUGAAUGAAUUUGAGCGUAUGAGGAGACUUUAUGAAUACAUUGAAGAUGGGGAUCUUUGGAAGUGGAGUCUUCCAAAUAGUAAAGCUCUAAGCAGUGGUCUGAAAGAUUUGAAUAUUGAAUUUGAUGCCCUCUUGAAUCCUAAUUUAUUUGAUCAGUUACUAUCUCUGGAUAUGGAGACUAUGAUUAGUCAAGGAAUAGCGAGCUUAUCACACAAACAAAAAUUAAUAGACGAUGCCCUGAAUCAAUCGUAUAGCAUUACACUCGGUGGUGGAGUUUAUGGACGUUGUCUAGCUGUCGAUGCAGAUUCUAUUUCAGAACUAAGGAGUGAAUUAGGUCAUCAAUUGGCUACUAAGAGUCAAAACUUAAAUUUAAGAGGCAUUGGGGCUGUUGUAUACCGAGUCCCUGCACUUGGGAAUGACCAGAUGUUAAAAAUAAGUCUUAGAAGUGUGCAUGACGAAGACACAACUCGCAUCUCACAGGAAUUUGGAGGUGGUGGCCAUAAAAAUGCAAGCUCCUUCAUGUUAAGCUCAACAGAAUUCCAAAAGUGGAAGAUUUGAAUAGUACACAAAAGUAAGCAAAAGAGUGACUUCAGCUGUGGAGGAUUUCAUGUGCCCUACUCUUUUCAUUCAAGGUAAUUUUAUAGCCUUGUGACGUACCAGCAUUUCUAAAGAUUGCUCAUCAUUACCCUUCUACAGAUUCCUCCAAAGCUAAAUGGACGAGGAGUCUACUCUAUAUUAUGGAAGGUGCUAAGCAUGGAAAAUUUUCAAGGAUUUCAUGCUAAUAACCGAACUUAUAUGUGGAAUGAAUAAGUUGUUAUAAAUUCUACCUACACAGACCAAUCUCGGCAGUGUUCGAGAUGGCUGGUGGACAAUCUUGUGAAACUGGCUAACGAGCUCCCGUCAGCUGAUCAAUAAGUGAGAGAGGUCGUCGAGGCCGAUUGCUGAUGAAUUGGAAGCACACCAUGCAUCUUCUGUAAUGAAUUGCAUCCAUGAAUCAUCCUUUUCUUCUUCCUCCACGAAAGAAGAUGAAGCUGCCAUCAGAAUAUCAGGUGAU